rnacentral:lncRNA from 1 species
UGAUUUUGCUUGUUUUGACCUCUGUUUAAAAGGGACUUUUUUCAUGGCAGGCUUCUUUGGAGGGCUUGAGGGGUAGGGGGCAAUCAACAUCUCUGGUCAUGGAAAGUUUGCCUGUUUGAGAUUAUACUCAAUGUCUUAUGGUCUCUUUGUCUCUGCCCCUGCCCUAGGUGCAGCUGAAUGCCGGCCAGCUGCAGUAUAUCCGCUUAGCCCAGCCUGUAUCAGGCACUCAAGUUGUGCAGGGACAGAUCCAGACACUUGCCACCAAUGCUCAACAGAUUACACAGACAGAGGUCCAGCAAGGACAGCAGCAGUUCAGCCAGUUCACAGAUGGACAGCAGCUCUACCAGAUCCAGCAAGUCACCAUGCCUGCGGGCCAGGACCUCGCCCAGCCCAUGUUCAUCCAGUCAGCCAACCAGCCCUCCGACGGGCAGGCCCCCCAGGUGACCGGCGACUGAGGGCCUGAGCUGGCAAGGCCAAGGACACCCAACACAAUUUUUGCCAUACAGCCCCAGGCAAUGGGCACAGCCUUCCUCCCCAGAGGACCCGGCCGACCUCAGCGCCUCCUGCAGGCUAGGACACUGGUGCACUACACCCCACGCCUGGGGGCCGAGAUUCUCCAGCAGAAAGAUGCAAUAUUUUUUGUUUCCUUUUUUUCCAUUUUUUUCUCCAAGGAAUCAAUAUUUCAAUAUGUUGAGUGUGUGUCCAAUGCUAUGAAAUUAAAAUAUUAAAUAACAUAUUUAUGGCAUUUUCUUGAAGAGUGUGGUUGAAGAAAUAUUUCUCCUUUUGUUUUUCUUUUUUUGUUUGUUACUGCCACUUCUUUUUAGGAGCAAAUCUCCCCAGGGGUGUACGGUAUUUCUUGACUCUGGGAACAGCUGCUACCCCCAAGACUUGCCACGUUGUUCUGCCCUCAGAUGGAAUUAGGUGAAUGUGUGUAGCUGCUUUUUCACUCGUGGUCCUCUCCCCAUCCCUUGCUCUGACCCCAGAGCUCUGUGUAUUUGCAUCCAGAGGCCAUGGAAACAUUCUUUGCAUUUAAGAGACAGAUUUAUUCCCUGUGGAGAGUGGGUGGAUUCAUUGCCACACUCUUUUCUCCCAGGGACCCAGGAAACUAGGACUUUGUGUGUUUGCUGCCCACCUCCCUUUUAUUUUUUCAACGCAUUAAAAAUUGUGCUAGUCUCCUUUGCAUGGACUUCAAGC